rnacentral:piRNA from 1 species
UGUCAUACUAUGUUCCGGAAA